AUGUAGUUAAAUUAAAAAUUUUUUAAAAGGAAGAUAACAAAUUUUUCAUUUUAUAUUAAUUUGAAGAAUAUUUCAUCGUGGAUAAUAUAAGAGUUAAAAAAGAAUGCGAUGAAAUAGAAUUUCAAUCUCUCGAUUAAAAUUUCAAACUUGAUUCCUGUUAUAGAAAUGGAAUCGACUUUGAAACAUAAUCACUCACAUAUCCAGAGACAUCCUGUUUUCAACGCAUCGCUACAUUCAUACGAUUAGCUUGAUUAUAUCGUAUUUACAUUAGGGCCAAGACUGGUCUCUAAUUAAGAUUAAUUCGCCUCGAGUUUCGAACGAAACGACCCAGUUAACAGGUUAAAAUUGAAGCUCCAUGCUAAAAAUCCUCGAAGGAAGAAACUUCUAGUCGAGAGAGACGAAAGAAAAAAUUAGGUUAGAAGACCAAGAGAGAAAGUGUAAACGGCAGAAAAGUUGGCUAGCCCAGGAAGUCGGUGAAGCGAGAAGGAAGAAAAAAAAAAAGAAAGAUUCGGCGGAAAGGUGAGAAGAAGAGUUGUCUAGAUCUCGAGACCAGCCACGAGGCAAAGAGGGUGCGCAGUGCGGAAAUAAUUCUGCGUCCUGCACUCGUGAAGGUCAUCUCUGGGACGAGAACACUUGACCUGCUUGCCGCCCAAGGACAAACGCCAUUUAUCCCGAUUAUUCCAUUUCUUCUCUUUUUUUAAUUAACUUUUGCUCUCCAUCCACUUAUCGAUAUUUAUAGUAUAUUUUCAUUUCCAGGGAAAAAGGAAUGGAAAAAGAUUUUGGAAUUAUUUUUUUAUCGAAACAUCAAUUAUAAACGAUUUUGCAUUCUAUGCGAAGAAAAAAAUGAAUUUUGAAAAGUCCAAGUUGUUGAAGAAAGAAUUAUUUUUUGAGAUUUUGAUUGAAGCAUCAAUAUUUACGAUAUUUUCAUUUUCUCUAAGAGAAAAAGAAUGAAGAAACGUUUUAAUAGAAUUAUUUCUUUGUCAAGAAUUCGAUAAAAGCUUCGAUGAUUAAAUGAUAUUGCACUCCACGCGAAGAAAAAUAUGAAGAAGAGUUUUGGAGAACGAGAAAGUGGAAUAUUUUAAAAUUACUUUUUUUUUUACCAGGAAUGUUUCUUGCAAGUUUCUAAGGAAUCGUUUCGAGAAUAAAGUAGAAAAAUUGAUGGAAUAAUUUAAUCUCGAUGAUUAAAGAGAAAAUACUAGACAAAAGUAAGAAGAUUCCAAGGAAUUUCCACAUCUGUGUUGAGACGAUACCGGGAAGAGUAACAAGGUUAUACUAUUUUGAGAUUUAUGGAUAGUAAAUUGAAAGACGUGAGAAGGUUGAAUAAGGGGUAAUUCAAUCACGAAGAUUAAAUUAUCGAUUUAACCGAGGAUAAAAUUUGUCCCUGGGAAUAUAGAAGAUUCGAAAAGAAUCGUAUAAUUUUCUCGAGACGUUCCCAACAGUCACAGAAUUCUAUUACGUUUAAAUUUAUCGACGAUUAAAUUGGAAACUGUAUUAUCGAUGGAGUAAUUUAAUCUCCAAGAUUAAAUGCGAAAGCUUUCGAAGAAUUCUGCGAGUUUCUCGUGGAGAAAUCAUUCCCAAAUUUUCCUUUUAAUUCGAUUUCGAUUAUUCUCAAGAGAAAAUAAACAGAUACAUUGACUAACGUCGAAUUUAUUUUAAUCUAUAACAAUAAAAAUUAUUUAUUCGUCUUAAAUAGACUUCAAUCGUCAGAAGAAUUACAUUUCCAUAGUCAUAAAAAUCAUCUCGAAACGUAUUUGUAAUUUUAUUAGUCUCAAAAAUUUAAAAAACAAUAUCAAAAUGGCGCAAUAAAGAACUGCAUUCUCCAUCUA